AUAGUGACUAUGGCAAAGUCUAGCAAACAGCCAUACACCGAGUCUUGCGUGGUGUGCUGGCGACAGGCACUGCGAAGCGUAGACAGGGGGAGUGCAGGCCGGGCGAAGAGUACAGGACAUUAGCCCCGAAAUUGACAUUGUCGAGAUGGCCGACCAGCUCCACAUACUGGGAAGGCAGCAAAGAGCUGACCGUUAUGCGAGGGCAGCGAAAUGUCUCCGGGGUUCGAACCUG
rfam:Termite gut metagenome tgut2b_BHZN37361_g2, whole genome shotgun sequence.